UGGGAGGAGGGGGCUUGGAGCACAGCGACCAACUGUAUGACUGGCAGGAGUCUCCAGUGCGUUGGGAAGGAGGGGCCUUUGACCAAAGUUACCCAUCAGUCGAUAGCUGGUUGGGG